UACGUAGGGGGCAAGCGUUGUCCGGAUUUAUUGGGCGUAAAGAGCGUGUAGGCGGCCAUGCAGGUCAGCUGUGAAAACUCGAGGCUCAACCUCGAGACGUCGGUUGAAACCGUAUGGCUAGAGUCCGGAAGAGGAGAGUGGAAUUCCCGGUGUAGCGGUGAAAUGCGCAGAUAUCGGGAAGAACACCCGUGGCGAAGGCGGCUCUCUGGGACGGUACUGACGCUGAGACGCGAAAGCGUGGGGAGCAAACAGG
rnacentral:rRNA from 1 species